rnacentral:rRNA from 1 species
AUUGAACGCUGGCGGCAGGCCUAGCACAUGCAAGUCGAGCGGAUGAAGGGAGCUUGCUCCUGGAUUCAGCGGCGGACGGGUGAGUAAUGCCUAGGAAUCUGCCUGGUAGUGGGGGAUAACGUCCGGAAACGGGCGCUAAUACCGCAUACGUCCUGAGGGAGAAAGUGGGGGAUCUUCGGACCUCACGCUCUCAGAUGAGCCUAGGUCGGAUUAGCUAGUUGGUGGGGUAAAGGCCUACCAAGGCGACGAUCCGUAACUGGUCUGAGAGGAUGAUCAGUCACACUGGAACUGAGACACGGUCCAGACUACUACGGGAGGCAGCAGUGGCGAAUAUUGGACAGUGGGCGAAAGCCUUAUCCAGCCAUGCCGCGUGUGUGAAGAAGGUCUUCGGAUUGUAAAGCACUUUUAGUUGGGGUGAAGGGCAGUAAGUUAAUACCUUGCUGUUUUGACGUUACUAACAGAAUAAGCACCGGCUAACUUCGUG